AAUAAUGUAGCUAAAGGUGUUAAAUUAAAUCCUGACCGUUGUUUAUGUCCACUAACUAGAGAAAAAAGUGUAGAUAUUUAGAUCAUAAUAUUAAAUUAAAACACUGCCAUUAUUAUUUCAAUUCAAGUCUUUUUUAGUUCAUAAAGAAAAGAAAGUAGAUCUCUUCUUCCUCUCCUCCAACCUACCUGAAGAGAUUCCAACACUACAAUUCCAACCAAACGUGGUCUUUAUGAAUAAGGGAGUGAAGAUUGAGAGUGAAGAUUCUGAAACUGUGGAGAGUAAGAUUGAGAGUCUUUCAGCUACUGUUGCAGCAAUGGGAGUAAAGAUUGAUGGUGUUAUUGAAGCUUCAAAAAAUCAUGAAAAUAUAAGUGAUUUGCAAGCUCAACUUGGGAGCCAGUUGAAGCAAAUAAUGGGCUUAGAAGAAGUGAUAUUUAAUAGAACUGCAGUAUUUCGAGCUGUCAAGAUCUUGGCUACAAACUAUGAUAUUUUAAGGGUUUUCUCAGCUAUGCCUGCAGAUUUCAAGAGAAUCUUUCUUCUAGAUAUUGCUGAAAAUGGAAUAUGAUUAUGGUUUAAUAAUUUUUGUUUUCUUUUAAACAAUGAAUGAACAUCUACUUUUUUUUCUUUUUAAGCAAAUAAGCAAUGCUCCUCUAAUAAAUAAUUAAUUAGCAUUUCACAUAUUUUUUCAUUUUCUUUUUCUUGAAUAUUAAAUGAGGAUUUGUAUUGGUAACAUAACAAUGUGGCAAAAAAGUUCUUGCUAAUUUCAAUGUGACCCUUCUUUAAUUUUUUUUGAAUUAU